UGGGUUUUCAGGAAAAACUUCUUUACAGAAAGGGUUGUUAAGCACUGGAAUGGGCUGCCCAGGGAGGUGGUUGAGUCACCAUCCCUGGAUGUGUUUAACAACUGUUUGGAUGUGGUGCUCAGGGACAUGAUUUAGUGGAGGGCUGUUAGAGUUAGGGUAGGAUGGUUGGGCUGUGGUUGGACUUGAUCUUGAAGGUCUUUUCCAACCUGAGCAAUGCUAUGAUUCUAUGAUUCUAUAGUGUUAACAAAAAGCUUCCAACAUUGGGGAAGGAAGAAAGAAAAGAGGCAAAGACACCACACCGCACUCCACAAAGGACGGCUCCUGAGCUCGUGGGGCUGCUGGCCGUGCUCUGCUCACUUUGCUGCUGGCUUUGCCUUUGGAAGGUGGAAGCAAGCUGAAGUGCUUUGAUUUUCCUCACCUAGGCUACAAAUCACACGAUGCACCAGGUCACCCUUACAGCAUAUCAGAUUGGGGGGUAUUUUCCAAAUCCCCUGACGAGAACAUCAUUAAAAUGCCAGCAAAUGAAGUCUGUAGAGAUUGACUGGGGAUAAAGCACGUGCAGGAAUCCACUCACCACCCCCCCACAGUGAUAACACAGCCACAAUCAGAGCUGCCAGCGAGGCAACUGAAGGCUCAUGGUGACUCUUUAAUGACAAGCAUCCAUUUAAUUUGAUUGCUGGGAAUAAUGGAGUGUUGCAUUCCCUCCACUCAUUUCAGUGGGCUUGAGCACAAUUAAGAGGAAGGGAUGUGUGGUUUUCCCUGAGCGCUCCCUCUGUGGCUGCUGAUUAAUGCCCAGCUGCAGUGCUGGAGCCAAGUGUGGGGCGGAUGGACACACGGACCCAUCGGGGUCCCGAUACUCCUCUUGGAGCACUGCUUUUGCCAUCUGUGUCAUUGCUUCAUGAUCAACAUUCUUGUCCACGUUGCCCUCCUGCAAAGACCACGGAGGGACAGUUUUGUCAGCAGCCCCCACAGGUGUUGUACGCCAGGACCCCCUCCAUCUCAGCUUGCACACAAGUGCUGCAGAAAAGGCUGAGCACGUGGCUGGGAUGUGCUGCACAGACACAUAGAAUCCCGUGGAAACACACAGCAGUCACAUGGAGGAGAAGUGCUCUCUCUUGGAGGGGUAAAAAUCCCCUGUACAGAACAUGGUUUUCCUUUGGAUCUACAUUUCCACAGCACUGCCAAUAGUGAGGACGGACGUCGUCCCAUUCCUUUCAACGUUUCCUACUGACAGUUCACUCACAGUUCAAGGCAAUGUUAUUUUUCAGCUCAUUCACAGAACUGUGCCGGUGAGGUCAGCUCUGCUCCGCCAGGGAUGCUCCCACGGAGCGCCAUCCCGGUGAGAUAAGAACCCAUGUAAGAAAUUCCCUGCAAAGUGGGACUCCAUCAUCCUCCAUGAAAAGGACGGUUUGGACUGGAUGGUGGACAGCUGGACUGGAUGAACUCGGUGGUCUUCUCCAACUUUGGUGACUCUGUGAUUCUAUGAACAGCAGAAUGAUGAGCGAGCACCUCGGGGCACAGAAAGCAAGAGCGUCUAACGAGGAGGAUCUGUUUUAUAGCCUCUCAAAGACAGGGUCUAGAGAUCAGUCUGCUGACAUUUUAAAAUGUUAAAUCUCGAAAUACGAACGUAAAUCUGUGAAAUUAAAUCCCGGAUGCCUGAAAAGCUUGGAAAGCAAAGAAAUUCAGAUGACACGAUGGCCUCAGUCACAGCGCCAUAGGAUGCUGUGGGUCGGAAGGGACUCACGGGGGGACGCACAGAAACGCCCCCCAGAAAUAGUAAUAAAGAAAGACAUCACAGAGCGAUCAAAACCAGAUGGCAGCUUCUCUUUUAUUAUUAUUUUGCACCAUUUUUUUUUGCAGUGUGUGACUGAAAGGCAAUACUCGUAUCUACUUCCCAGUAAUUCCUACAGCUCCCCCACAGGCAGUGUUGGUGCCGUCAAUUGCAAAUAAGGUGAUAUUUUCAGAGGUGAGGACAUUUUUCAGCAGCUGAGAUCCCAACUUUUCCAGCACACCCCGUGCCCUCUCACUGCUGUGUUGCAAAUAAACAGCACGUCAUGGGUGAGGAUUUCCUUCAAGGGUACAACAGCAGGUUCACGUGGUUUGGUAUUUCUUCAGCUGCAAUUGAGCUGCAAUUCCUUUCUUCAGGAAUCGCCGCAACCCAAUGAGAUGAACAAAAAUGCAACGCAGUGAAAUGGUGGUUUGCUCAGGAAGAAAAGCACCGCGUUGCAGAGCUCAGGAUGCACCUCUGUUGGUCAGGGAUGCAGACAUUCAUGUCCCGAAGUGGAGAAAGAGACUCAGGUCCUUCUCGCUGUCUGACCUGAGGCUGUGCGUCAGGCUGUGGUUGGAUGCAGUGUCUUCGGGUUGAUAAUCCGCGCAGUGGCGUCGCGGAGAUUGAUGCUGCCCCGGAUAACAAUGCCGAUGUCAUCCCUAUCCCUGCAGCGAGAGAACGGAGAGUG
ensembl:lncRNA